AGGAGUUGAUAGGCCGGGUGUGUAAGCGCAGCGAUGCGUUGAGCUAACCGGUACUAAUGAACCGUGAGGCUUAACCUUACAACGCCGAAG
rnacentral:rRNA from 1 species